AAGUGAUACAAACCCUUAAUAUGGUAGCUCCCAAACUUGCUCCAUUAUAAAUAUCACCAAAGGAGUUUUUGAAAAACAGAGAUGCUGAUGUUCUACUUCAAACCUCCUUAAUCAGAUAUGGGAGGCUCUGCAACAGCAUAUUCUACAAAGAAAAAGAUAAAUGAACAGAAUUCACUCUAAGAUUCACCAUGGAUGUUUACUAGUCAACUUGAUGUCCCAAACCAUCUGCCUAUCUAACACAGCUGAUCUUAAGUUCAUGCUUCACAGCUAUUGGAUGCCCCUUAACCAAGGACUUAGGGCUCAAAUAUUUGAAGAACACUGGAGUCAGGAGACCAGGAUUUCAGAUCUGACUGACACUAACUAGGCUCACCUGGGAGAAACCAGAUGCUCUGUAGGAAAUGCAACGGUCCUGCAAACACCAUGCUAUGGGAAGCCCAAGCCAUGUGCAGAGGCCCUGGAGGAAGAGAUUCAUUGUGUCGAGCAAGAGACCACAUGCAUGAGGAAGCCAUCUUAGAAAUGGAUCCUUCAUCCCACCCAUUUCAGGAGAUUCAGCUUUGACUAGGAAGGCAAAGGCCACACUACAGGGCUGUGGUUCUCAAAGUGUGAUGUCCAAACCAUCAACAUCAACGUCACAAGAGAACCUGUUAGAAAUGCAAAUUCAUCGGUCCCAUCCAAGACUUAUAGAAUCAGAAACUCCAGGUGGGCUCAGAAAGCCCUCCAGGUGAUUAUGAUGCCCGAAAGCAGAGACUGGCAAACUGCAGCCAAUGGACCAAAACCACUGGGUGGCUCGAUUUUGUACAACAAUGAGCUAAGAAUGGGUUUUACAUUUGCGAACAGUUGCAACAAAAAGUAACAAAGCCAAAGAAGAAUAUGUAAUUGAGACUUAUGUGGCUGGUAAAGACUAAAAUUUCACCUUAUGGCCUUUUACAGAAAGUUUGCCAACCUCCGCAUUCAAGUUGAGAACUAUUGCCAUAAAGGCUUGCUCAGUAAAAGGAACUUAGAUCCCUGAAUAACUUAGUGGAGCAGAAGUGCUCUGUCAGUUUGGCCUGCUCACUCCAAAACUGCUAGAGAGAAAAAUAAACUCCUAGGCCGUGUAAGCCUCCAUACACGGGGCCUCUGUUACGGCAGCUGAGCCCAAAUCCUGACCAAUGUAAGAGGUUAAGAAGGAGCUGCUAUACUACACGUUGAUCUCUCUUCCCACACCUUAUUGUCAGCUCAUGGUCUGAAGUUUGCUUUUAGUUUCCAUCAUUACAUGUCUCCUGAUUACUCUCUUUAAAGGUACAGAUAUUGGAUUCAUCUAAUAGUUCUCCAUAAUUUUGAGCCCUAGAGGCUUUAGAACACUUACUGGAACUUCAUAAAUUGAAUCUAUCCAGG
rnacentral:lncRNA from 10 species